rnacentral:rRNA from 1 species
UUGGAGGGCAAGUCUGGUGCCAGCAGCCGCGGUAAUUCCAGCUCCAAUAGCGUAUAUUAAAGUUGUUGCAGUUAAAAAGCUCGUAGUUGAAUUUCGGGAUCAAUAUGUCGGUCGUGCCUUCGGUACGUACUGGCAUCAUUGGUUUCUCCCUUCUGACAAACCAUGAUGUCAUUAAUUUGGUGUUAUGGGGAGUUAGGACUGUUACUUUGAAAAAAUUAGAGUGUUUAUAGCAGGCAUUAGCUUGAAUACAUUAGCAUGGAAUAAUGAAAUAGGACGUUUGACCCUAUUUUGUUGGUUUCUAGGAUCGACGUAAUGAUUAAUAGGGAUAGUUGGGGGCAUUAGUAUUCAAUUGUCAGAGGUGAAAUUCUUGGAUUUAUUGAAGACUAACUACUGCGAAAGCAUUUGCCAAGGAUGUUUUCAUUAAUCAAGAACGAAAGUUAGGGGAUCGAAGACGAUCAGAUACCGUCGUAGUCUUAACCAUAAACUAUGCCGACUAGGGAUCGGAUGAUGUUAAUUUUUUAAUGACUCAUUCGGCGCCUUACGGGAAAC